GUCAACGGCACAGUGGGCGGCACCUUCGCGGGUGUCGGGCCGUUAUGCCUUGACGAGUAGGAGGGUCGCCACGAUGUGCGCAGAAGGGUCUGGGCGUGAGCCUGCCUGGAGCCAUCGUCGGCGCAGAUCUUGGUGGUAGUAGCAAAUACUCCAGCGAGGACCUGGAGGACUGACGUGGAGAAGGGUUUCUUGUGAACAGCUGUUGCACAAGAGUCAGUCGAUCCUUAGCCCUAGGAGAAAUCCUAUGUUGAUGGGAAGCCGUUUUGAACUGAUAAAAAAUGAAAGAGUAGUUUUUGCUAACUGAGCAAUAACGAAAAUUCUAUUUUGCUGGCGACCCACUGGGCGAAAGGGAAUCCGGUUCCUAUUCCGGAACCCGGCUGCGGAACCGUUCCUAUGCGGGUCCUCACCUGAGAACUCGACGGGGUAACCCGAAGAGACCCGG
rnacentral:rRNA from 2 species